UACGUAGGGUCCGAGCGUUGUCCGGAAUUACUGGGCGUAAAGAGCUCGUAGGUGGUUUGUCGCGUUGUCCGUGAAAACUCACAGCUCAACUGUGGGCGUGCGGGCGAUACGGGCAGACUGGAGUACUGCAGGGGAGACUGGAAUUCCUGGUGUAGCGGUGGAAUGCGCAGAUAUCAGGAGGAACACCGGUGGCGAAGGCGGGUCUCUGGGCAGUAACUGACGCUGAGGAGCGUAAGCGUGGGGAGCGAACAGG
rnacentral:rRNA from 1 species